AUGAAGUAUCUAAGAGAGUUGAAGGAGUGCAAACCCUCCACAUCUCCAUCACGGACAGGGCCGGUGCAGCACCAGCCUCGGCGUGUGGCUUGGAGCCCUCCGCCACCUGGGUAUGUGAAGAUUAAAGUGGAUGGGGCUGUGACACGCCAGGGAAACGGCGACGCGUUUACUACAGUCUGCGGGGAUUCAAAUGGCUUGUUUCUUGGUGCUUCAGCCAUACGUUGCAGAGGUAUUUCUGACCCGGCUAUCCUUGAAGCUCUGGCGUGCCGCGAAGGCUUGGCUCUAGCCGACGACCUUGGUACUACGCAUGUGGUAAUAGCAUCUGAUUGCAAGGGAGUUGUCCAAGACAUUGCGAAUAACACCGGAGGAGAGUACGGUCCGGUCGUUAGGGAAAUACGAGAGACAUCUACAUUUUUUCAGCAUUGUACCUUCACUUUUGAAGGAAGAGAGACUAAUAUAGAGGCACAUAGCCUCGCUAGACAUGCCUUGGGUCUGGAUCAUGGACGCCAUGUGUGGCUCAUAAAUCCACCAGACCUUAAUGUUAUCCUUAUGAACUUAUUGGCUGAAUAA
rnacentral:rRNA from 1 species